AUUGGCUACAAGUUGGAGUUUAGUGGAUAACCCACACACUGUCAAUGAACAAUGCGCACACAUAUCUACACUCACGCACAAUUCUUCCCUAGGCUUUCCAUUCAGUAGAUAUCUAUUAACAGCAAAGUUACCGGGGUCAUUAGAAAGAUUGUGCAAUUAUGUCCUAUAAUUAGCAAGUUAUAAACUGUACCUGUGAACACACAUUGAAAUAG